GACGAACGCUGGCGGCGUGCUUAACACAUGCAAGUCGAACGGAAAGGCCCUGCUUUUGUGGGGUGCUCGAGUGGAGAACGGGUGAGUUACCCGUGGGUAACCUGCCCUUGCCUUUGGGAUAACUUAAGACAACUGGGGCUAAUACCGGAUAGGAGCUCCUGCUGUAUGGUGGGGGUUGGAUAGUUUAGGCGGUUGGGGAUGGACUCGCGGCUUAUCAGCUUGUUGGUGUGGUAGUGGCAUACCAAGGCUUUGACGGGUAGCCGGCCUGGGAGGGUGACCAGCCACAGCGGGACUGAGAUACGGCCCAGACUCCUACGCGAGGCAGCAGUAGGGAAGAGGACACAAUGGGCAGAAGCCUAAUCCAGCAACGCCACUUGCGGGAUGACGGCCAUCGGGUUGUAGUCCGCUUUCGCCUGUGACGGAGCGUGAGAUGCGGGAAUGGGUAGAGUAGCACCGGCUAACUACGUG
rnacentral:rRNA from 1 species